rnacentral:rRNA from 1 species
GAUCCUGGCUCAGGACGAACGCUGGCGGCGUGCCUAAUACAUGCAAGUCGAGCGAAGUUUUUCUGGUGCUUGCACUAGAAAAACUUAGCGGCGAACGGGUGAGUAACACGUAAAGAACCUGCCUCAUAGACGGGGACAACGUAUUGGAAACGAUAGCUAAUACCGGAUAACAGCAUAAAUCGCAUGAUAUAUGUUUAAAAGUUGGUUUCGGCUAACACUAUGAGAUGGCUUUGCGGUGCAUUAG